GACGAACGCUGGCGGCGUGCUUAAUACAUGCAAGUCGAGCGAGGUUACUGUUUCGGAUCCCUUCGGGGUGAAGAAGCUUUAACCUAGCGGCGGACGGGUGAGUAACGCGUGGGUAACCUACCCCAAAGUCCGGGAUAACAGCGGGAAACCGCUGCUAAUACCGGAUGCCUUUACCUUGGGGCAUCUUGAGGUAAAGAAAGGUAACGCUUUGGGAUGGGCCCGCGUCCCAUUAGCUAGUUGGUGAGGUAACGGCUCACCAAGGCGACGAUGGGUAGCCGGCCUGAGAGGGUGGACGGCCACACUGGGACUGAGACACGGCCCAGACUCCUACGGGAGGCAGCAGUAGGGAAUAUUGCGCAAUGGACGGAAGUCUGACGCAGCGACGCCGCGUGAGCGAUGAAGGUCUUCGGAACGUAAAGCUCUGUCCUUGGGGAAGAAGGCGAAAGCUUGACGGUACCCAAGAAGAAAGCCCCGGCUAACUACGUGCCAGCAGCCGCGGUAAUACGUANGGGGCGAGCCUUGNCGGAAUUACUGGCGUAAAGGGUGCGUA
rnacentral:rRNA from 1 species